rnacentral:rRNA from 1 species
UAUGAUUACGGGUAGUGGAGGAUACCUAGGCAUAAGAAGAUGAGUAAAGGCGAGGCAACCUACGAAAAUCUUUGAGGAGCUGGAAGCAAGCUAAGAUUCAAACGAUUCUGAAUCUGAUAAAUCAGAAAAAUUCUAACCUUAGAAUUCAUAUAAGUUUAGAAAGCAACCUAGUGAACUGAAACAUCUAAGUAGCUAGAGGAAGAUAAAGCAAAAGCGAUUUUCUUAGUAGCGGCGAGCGAAAUGGAAAGAGCCUAAAUUCUUUCUACUUAGGAAGGGCGUAGUGGGAUCUUUCAUUCUUUUUAGGAUACCGAAGUGAAACAGUUGAAUUCUGUACUAGAAAUGGUGAAAGUCCAGUAGUUUCAGGUCAACUAAAGCUGAUUAGUAAUCCCAAGUAGCAUGAAACACGUGAAAUUUCGUGUGAAUCUGCGAGGACCACCUCGUAAGGCUAAAUACUAACUUAUGACCGAUAGUGAACUAGUACUGUGAAGGAAAGGUGAAAGAGAACCCCGAGAGGGGAGUGAAAAGACCAUGAAACCGCUACCUUUCGAGCAGUGGGAGGGUUGUGAUGCCUGACCGCUUGCCUGUUGAAGAAUGAGCCGGCGACUUUUUAGAUCGGGCUUGGUUAACCAAGCUUCAUUGGGAAACCUAAGUGAAAGCAGGUCGAAAAAAGCUUUCAGUUCGUCCUAAAAGACCCGAACCCGGGUGAUCUAACCAUGGCCAGGAUGAAGCUUGGGUAACACCAAGUGGAGGUCCGGACUGACCAGUGUUGAAAAACUGGCAGAUGAGCUGUGGUUUGCUGUGAAAUACGAAUCGAACUCGGAGCUAGCUGGUUUUCUCCGAAAUGUGUUGAGGCGCAGCCGAUACAAAGGUUAAUCCAGGGGUAAAGCACUGUUUCGGUGCGGGCUGCGAAAGCGGUACCAAAUUGUGGCAAACUAAUAAUACUAGAGUAACUUUCUGUAAACGAGUGAGACUAUGAGGGAUAAGCUUCAUUGUCAAGAGGGAAACAGCCCAGACCAUCUACUAAGGCCCCGAAAUAAUCGCUAAGUGGUAAAGGAGGUGGGGAUGCAAAGACAAUCAAGAGGUUCGCUUAGAAGCAGCUAUCUUUUAGAGAAUGCGUAAUAGCUCACUGGUAAAGCGUCCCUGCGCCGAAAAUGAUCGGGACUAAGCCAUUUGCCGAAGUUGUGGAAUUUCAACAUUUUUAAGUUGGAGUUGGUAGGAGAACGUUCUUUUCUAGAUAAAGCGAUGAUGUUAAUCCUCGUGGAUGGGAAAGAAGUGAGAAUGUCGGCUUGAGUAACGAAAACUAGGGUGAGAAUCCCUGGCUCCGAAAGUCUAAAGAUUUCUUUAAGAGGUUCGUCCAUGAAGAGUGAGUCAGGACCUAAGAUGAGACCUUCAAAAGUAGGUGUAAUCGAUGGAGAACUAGUUAAUAUUCUAGUACCUUAACGGUUUUGCAGGGAUGAAUGACGAAGAAGGAGAACGCUAGCGGGUUCAGGUUUUCUCGCGGAAAUCAGAGAGGUUUUUCUAUUCGAAGAAAAACGAGUGGAAGCUGAUCUAUGAUACGUAAUUCCUAUUUAAAUAGGAAAUAUUAGCAAUAUUCUUGCUUCCAAGAAAAGUUUAUAUUUUUGAUCAGACUGUUAGGCCUGUACUUCAAACCGACACAGGUAGACUAGUAGAGAAUACUAAGGAGCUCGAGAGAACUCUCUCUAAGGAACUCGGCAAAAUGACCCUGUAACUUUGGAAGAAAGGGUACCUAAUAAAAAGGUUGCAAAAUCUAAGCCCAGGCGACUGUUUACCAAAAACACAGGUCUCCGCAAAUUUGUAAAAUGACGUAUGGGGGCUGACGCCUGCCCAGUGUCGGAAGGUGAAAGAAGUUGGUUCUCCUUUUUAGAAAAAGCUAACGACUGAAGCCCCGGUGAACGGCGGCCGUAACUAUAACGGUCCUAAGGUAGCGAAAUUCCUUGCCAGGUAAGUUCUGGCCUGCACGAAAGGCGUAACGAUCUGGGCUCUGUCUCGGAGAGAGACUCGGUGAAAUAGAAGAGUCCGUGAAGAUCCGGACUUCCUACACCUGGACAUAAAGACCCUAUGAAGCUUCACUAUAACUUGAAAUAGUAUUUGGGUUUUGCUUGCGCAGCAUAGGUGGGAGGCAAAGAGUACUUCAUUCGGGUGAAGUAGGAGCCGACUUUGAGAUACCACUCUGGUAAAACUAAAGUACUAACCAUGAUCCUUAUAUUCAGGACAUGAGACAGUUUCAGGUGGGUAGUUUGACUGGGGCGGUCGCCUCUUAAAAAGUAUCAGAGGCGUACUAAGGUUCUCUCAGACUGGACGGAAAUCAGUUAAGGAAUGCAAAGGUAAAAGAGAGCUUGACUGUGAGACCUACAAGUCGAUCAGAAGCGAAAGCUGGUCUUAGUGAUCCGACGAUGCUGUGUGGAAAGGUCGUCGCUCAACGGAUAAAAGUUACUCUAGGGAUAACAGGCUGAUCUUCCCCAAGAGUCCACAUCGACGGGAAGGUUUGGCACCUCGAUGUCGGCUCAUCGCAACCUGGUGCGGUAGUGCGUGCCAAGGGUUGGGCUGUUCGCCCAUGAAAGCGGUACGUGAGCUGGGUUCAGAACGUCGUGAGACAGUUCGGUCCAUAUCCGGUGAAGGCGUUAGAGCAUUGAGAGGAGUCUUCUCUAGUACGAGAGGACCGAGAAGGACGAACCAAUAGUGUGUCAGUUCUUGUGCCAACAGGAAACGCUGAGUAGCUAUGUUCGGAGUGGAUAAUUGCUGAAAGCAUCUAAGUAAGAAGCCCACCUCAAGAUAAAUGCUCUCUAGGAGGUUUCGGUAAGAUAAACCGUAUUGGUGACAGGUGUAACUUUGGUAACAAAACAGCCAAGUCAUUCAAAUUAACCCAUAGAAUUUGACUUAUCA